UACGGAAGGCAGCAGUGGGGGAAUAUUGCACAAUGGGCGCAAGCCUGAUGCAGCCAUGCCGCGUGUAUGAAGAAGGCCUUCGGGUUGUAAAGUACUUUCAGUCGUGAGGAAGGUGUUAAGGUUAAUAACCUUAGCAAUUGACGUUAGCGACAGAAGAAGCACCGGCUAACUCCGUGCCAGCAGCCGCGGUAAUACGGAGGGUGCGAGCGUUAAUCGGAAUUACUGGGCGUAAAGGGCACGCAGGCGGUUAAUUAAGUUGGAUGUGAAAUCCCCGGGCUUAACCUGGGAAUGGCAUUCAAGACUGGUUAGCUAGAGUCUUGUAGAGGGGGUAGAAUUCCAUGUGUAGCGGUGAAAUGCGUAGAGAUGUGGAGGAAUACCGGUGGCGAAGGCGGCCCCUGGGCAAAGGCUGACGCUCAUGUGCGAAAGCGUGGGGAGCAAAC
rnacentral:rRNA from 1 species